rnacentral:lncRNA from 1 species
AACAAAAUAUACGCAUAACCAUAAGUAUGUCUUAACUAAAUUUUAAAAACAUCACAAAAAAAGGACUUUAAAACUCUUAGUACAUGUCAUUUAUAACCAACUCAAAAAUGACCACAACUUCUACUGAGAUGAAGCGUAACAGCCCGAUUUAGGGCCUAGUCAGAAUAGUGGUCUCGGGAUCACAAAUUCGAUGUUAGAAAAAUUAUUUUACUAUUAUUUUGAUGUAUUAGCAUGUUU